UACGUAGGGUGCAAGCGUUGUCCGGAAUUACUGGGUGUAAAGGGUCCGCAGGCGGGCGAGCAAGUCGGUGGUGCAAGUCUUUGGCUCAACCAAAGAAUUGCCUUCGAUACUGCUCGUCCUGAGUUCGAGAGAGGAUAAUGGAAUUCAUGGUGUAGCGGUGAAGUGCGUAGAGAUCAUGAAGAACACCAGUAGCGAAGGCGGUUAUCUGGCUCGAUACUGACGCUCAGGGACGAAAGCGUGGGGAGCAAACAGG
rnacentral:rRNA from 1 species